CGUAGGUGGCAAGCGUUGUCCGGAUUUAUGGGUUUAAAGGGUGCGUAGGCGGUGAUUUAAGUCAGUGGUGAAAUACUUCAGCUUAACUGGAGAGGUGCCAUUGAUACUGGGUCACUUGAGUACUGAUGAGGUAGGCGGAAUGGACGGUGUAGCGGUGAAAUGCUUAGAUAUCGUCCAGAACACCGAUAGCGAAGGCAGCUUACUAAGGAGUAACUGACGCUGAGGCACGAAAGUGUGGGGAUCAAACAGGAUUAGGUACCCUGGUAGUCCACACUGUAAACGAUGAUCACUCGAUGUUGGCGAUACACAGCCAGCGCCUUAGCAAAAGCGAUAAGUGAUCCACCUGGGGAGUACGCCGGCAACGGUG
rnacentral:rRNA from 1 species